ACGGGAAUCUUCGGAUUCUAGUGGCGGACGGGUGAGUAACGCGUAAGAAUCUAACUUCAGGACGGGGACAACAGUGGGAAACGACUGCUAAUACCCGAUGUGCCGCAAGGUGAAACCUAAUUGGCCUGGAGAAGAGCUUGCGUCUGAUUAGCUAGUUGGUGGGGUAAAGGCCUACCAAGGCGACGAUCAGUAGCUGGUCUGAGAGGAUGAGCAGCCACACUGGGACUGAGACACGGCCCAGACUCCUACGGGAGGCAGCAGUGGGGAAUUUUCCGCAAUGGGCGAAAGCCUGACGGAGCAACGCCGCGUGAGGGAGGAAGGUCUUUGGAUUGUAAACCUCUUUUCUCAAGGAAGAAGUUCUGACGGUACUUGAGGAAU
rnacentral:rRNA from 1 species